AAGACCUUGCACUUUUGGAGCGGCCGAUGUCUGAUUAGCUAGUUGGUGGGGUAAUGGCCUACCAAAGCUUCGAUCAGUAGCUGGUCUGAGAGGACGGCCAGCCACACUGGGACUGAGACACGGCCCAGACUCCUACGGGAGGCAGCAGUGGGGAAUUUUGGACAAUGGGCGCAAGCCUGAUCCAGCCAUGCCGCGUGAGUGAAGAAGGCCUUCGGGUUGUAAAGCUCUUUCAGCCGGGAAGAAAAGGUUGCGACUAAUAAUCGCAAUUCAUGACGGUACCGAAAGAAGAAGCACCGGCUAACUACGUGCCAGCAGUCGCGGUAAUACGUAGGGUGCGAGCGUUAAUCGGAAUUACUGGGCGUAAAGGGUGCGCAGGCGGUUUUGUAAGUCAGAUGUGAAAUCCCCGGGCUUAACCUGGGAACU
rnacentral:rRNA from 1 species